rfam:Naegleria gruberi genomic scaffold NAEGRscaffold_6, whole genome shotgun sequence.
GGGUGGUUAGCUCAGCGGUAGAGCACCGGAUUGCAAAGUUAAUUGCAGCAGACAUCCGAUGGUCACGUGUUCGAUCCACGUACCACCCU